rnacentral:rRNA from 1 species
GACAGAGGUGCCAAGCGUUAGGCGGAAUCACUGGGCUUAAAGCGUGUGUAGGCGGAUCGUUAAGUACCUUGUGAAAUCCCACGGCUCAACCGUGGAACUGCUCGGUAUACUGGCGGUCUUGAGCCACCUAGGGGCAACUGGAACAAGCGGGGGAGCGGUGAAAUGCGUAGAUAUCGCUUGGAACGCCAACGGUGAAAACAGGUUGCUGGGGGUGUGCUGACGCUGAGACACGAAAGCCAGGGGAGCGAACGGG